rnacentral:rRNA from 1 species
UAAGCGAUGGGGUGACGCAGGAAGGUAGCUGGGCCAGUCAGUGGUUGUACUGGUGUAAGAGUGUAGGCCGUGACAUAGGCAAAUCCGUGUCACAUUAAGGCUGAGACUUGAUGCAUACCCGUUGUGGGGAAUUCAGUGAUCCUAUGCUGCCGAGAAAAGCCUCUAGUGAGUUCAUACACGGCCCGUACCCCAAACCGACACAGGUGAUCAGGUAGAGAAUACCAAGGCGAUCGAGAGAACUGUGGUUAAGGAACUCGGCAAAAUGCCCCCGUAACUUCGGGAGAAGGGGGACCAUGCCCGGUGAACAUCUUCACGGUGGGAGCUGGGUGUGGUCGCAGAGACCAGAGAGAAGCGACUGUUUACUAAAAACACAGGUCCGUGCGAAGACGUAAGUCGAUGUAUACGGACUGACGCCUGCCCGGUGCUGGAAGGUUAAGAGGACCGGUUAGCCGUAAGGCGAAGCUGAGAAUUUAAGCCCCAGUAAACGGCGGUGGUAACUAUAACCAUCCUAAGGUAGCGAAAUUCCUUGUCGGGUAAGUUCCGACCUGCACGAAUGGCGUAACGACUUCUCUGCUGUCUCGACCACAGACUCGGCGAAAUUGCACUACGAGUAAAGAUGCUCGUUACGCGCGGCAGGACGAAAAGACCCCGGGACCUUUACUAUAGCUUGGUAUUGGCGUUCGAUUCGGUUUGUGUAGGAUAGGUGGGAGACUGUGAAGCAUGCACGCCAGUGUGUGUGGAGUCGUUGUUGAAAUACCACUCUGAUCGUAUUGGACGUCUAACCUCGGCCCAUGAUCUGGGUUAGGGACAGUGCCUGGUGGGUAGUUUAACUGGGGCGGUUGCCUCCUAAAGAGUAACGGAGGCGCCCAAAGGUUCCCUCAGCCUGGAUGGCAAUCAGGUGUUGAGUGCAAGUGCACAAGGGAGCUUGACUGUGAGACUGACACGUCGAGCAGGGACGAAAGUCGGGACUAGUGAUCCGGCACCGGCAAGUGGAAGCGGUGUCGCUCAACGGAUAAAAGGUACCCCGGGGAUAACAGGCUGAUCUUCCCCAAGAGUCCAUAUCGACGGGAUGGUUUGGCACCUCGAUGUCGGCUCGUCGCAUCCUGGGGCUGGAGUAGGUCCCAAGGGUUGGGCUGUUCGCCCAUUAAAGCGGCACGCGAGCUGGGUUUAGAACGUCGUGAGACAGUUCGGUCUCUAUCCGCCGCGCGCGUAAGAAACUUGAGGAAGGCUGUCCCUAGUACGAGAGGACCGGGACGGACGAACCUCUGGUGUGCCAGUUGUUCCACCAGGAGCAUGGCUGGUUAGCUACGUUCGGAAGGGAUAACCGCUGAAAGCAUCUAAGCGGGAAGCCUGUUCCAAGAUGAGGUUUCUCACCACCUUGCGUGGUUAAGGCCCCCUACAGACCAUGGGGUUGAUAGGCCGGAACUGGAAGCGCAGCAAUGCGUGGAGGUGACCGGUACUAAUAAGCCGAGGGC